UGUUGUUAGGCUCUCCGGGGCAGCACCUGUGCUAGAUGGUCAUUAACCUGCAGCUGGACCUCGGCUAGCUGCCAUUUGCAGGAGGUUCCUGAAGGGAGAGCCGAGUCCUUUGUUUCCUCAUCACUCAGAGGGAGCGUUUUGGAACAGCGUGACCAAAUCCGGGCUGCCUUCUGCUCGGGUGAGUUCCAGUGGACGUGGUGCCAGCUGCAGUCCAUGAGUGACAGGAGGGGAAACCUCAGACACUGAUUUUACAUCCGAAGGACUGAACCUGCUCUAACAGCCCAUGGGAUGCUUCCUCCAGGGAGAUAGGUUAAGACUUGUUCAGAAGGGACUUGGUUCUUUCCUGGUUUGCCUUUGGAGCUACAGGACACUCACCUGCGAAAAGGAGGGAAUCCACAUAGCAGUAUGUAUGUGAUCACUCCUGCAGCCCAAAUAUCCACCUUCAAGCCAUAGCUGAGAAAACAAGACUGUGUUACUGUGCUGGCUUCAAACAAAACCAGUCAUUCCAGUCCAACAGCUGCUCCCACUUACUGAUGAACUUAUACUGAGAAUCUAAGGUCCUUGCUGAUGGUGAGGAGAUUUAGUUUGUACCUAAGUGUCAUUUUACUUAGCAUUCUUCAGCCUUUAGGAAACCACAGUAACAUCCUUUGUCAUCCUUUUUUUUUUCUUCUGUAAGCCUCAAGGCUCUGCAGGGUCUUCUGGAUAUACUCAGAUUCAAUUCAGUGUCAAGGUUUCCCAAUCCAGCAUCACUAAUGAUAGACAAGGAUGUGCUUUCUCAGUUCCCGUGCUGGAGUAACGAUCUCUAAGGUUAUCCUGCGUUGCUAAGCAACAAGGAAGAUACCAGUUCUCCAGUCUGUUGACUGAAUAUCACAGGGAAAAAGAAAUGCACUUUUCUUUUAAAGCACAGAAAUUCAAACACUAGAGGUCAAGAAGAGGCCUUUUUUCCUGUUAUACAUUCAGUUUGCCAAGAUGUAGAAGACGCCCUUUGAUGUUUGAGCUCACUGCAGCUGUGAAAUAGUCCUCCAUAUGGCAGAGGCACUGAGCAACGCUCAAAACAAUGCCACAAACCUCCCUCCAUCACAAAAACCAAAUUUAGCAUGGCCAGAGCUACAGAAUGGAGGUCUACCCAGCCUAAAAUGGAAGACUACUUGUGACAUUCUGCCAUCUUACAAACUGAUUUAUACAACUGCCUGUUAAAUACAGCAAAAAUUUCAGACUGAUUAAACCAACAGGUAUCAAAUCACAUGUGUCACCCAGACAAGGUCAGCUGAACCAGCAUGGUCUCAUCAGUGUGCUCUGAGAGCAGGUCUAGGCUAAGUGACUGCUGGAAUCUCUUCCAAGAUACAUGACUCCGUUCCUAACAUGAACACUCUUUCACUUGCCAUUUUUCCCCCUAGCAGCUGCCACAGUGGUACAAAUGGCCCUGAAUGGCGAGGUGAGACAGGGAACACAAAACAGUAACCUCCAGCACAUCAGCAGUGGUCCUAGGUAAGGAGGCAAAGGUGCAUUUUGGUGCUGCCUGUCUCCUAUAGAUGGCUUAGUUACCAGCAGAUAGAGGACCACCUUACUAGAGCAUUCUGGUUCUUCCGAUGGUUAGGAGCUAACUCCCACCCCUGAAGAUGUGCAGGAUGAGGCUCGACAGGACUCUGGGCAGUCUGAUCUAGUUGAGGAUGUCCCUGGUGACUGCAGAGAGGGCUGGACUAGAUGUCCUCUGGAGGUGCCUUCCAGCCCAGCCCAUGCUAUGAUUCUACAAAGAGUAACUGGUGACAGGACAUGUGUCUUAGUCAUCCUCACCCUGUCUCAGCGAUGAUUUCUGGAGCCACAUAUGUGGGGGUUCCACAGACAGUAUAAAGUGGUCCUUCAACCACAGUCGCCAGUCCGAAGUCUCCUAGCUUCAAAGACUUGGUUCCAUCUGAGUAUUCACAUACCUAAAAUCAGCACAAUAAGAACAAAACGAGGAGGAAUAUAUCUGGAUUUUUAAGACUGUUAGGAAAACAGUAAAGCAUCACACAGGGAGGAUGGGAGAAAGAACUUCUGCAGCCCUGCAGGGAGAGGAGAGUGCAGUGGUGUGACCACUGACUGCCACAGUGCUGCUGCAGCUGCUGUUCAAUGGAGCUGUCUGCCAGCUAUGUAGGUCAGACCAUGAUAGAGCCUCAAAGACCUGGGUGGGGGAGGGGGACCCAACUGUAGAAUGCUGAGUUUUAAAUCUAUCAGGAAAAAAAUAUAUGCUCUACUUCCACUUGAUCGGGGUCGAGUCUCAAAUGGAGUUGGCAGUUAGAAUCAGAUUUGUUUAACAGCUGGCACUAACUCGGCACAAAUGUGGCCACUUAGCAUAUUGGGUGCUGCAUAGGCAAAUGUCUUCCCUAAGCUUAGUCUAGGCAAAUUCAGUACAGCAGUGAGAAAGCUGACUGCAAAGUGAUUCGAUUUCUGUGCAACCCAAGGGUGUCUUACCAAAAGCACCAUAAAGAAUCUCAAGCAUCUUGUUCCCAGUCCUUUUGGUGAGGAAAGAAGGUAAAUUUUCCAUAGAUAGCAAAAGUAAUUCGAGCCAGACCAGCAGCAAAGGAAACUUCCCCAAUAGACACCUCUCAGUUUUAUUCCUAGAGUAGAAUGUUUUUGUUACUGUGUUUUCAACAGGACCUGGUGUCUAAAAUGUAGGACUCCAAAAUCUCCAGAAUGAGUAAAUUUAUUUGGUUUCCUUGAACAAGGGAGUACUGCUAAGGCACUUCCUUCGUUGCCCUGUGUAAUUCCCACUGCCAAAGGAAGCGUUUUUUCUCCCUGAUGUCACAGCUCCAUCCCUGCAGCUGCUUUUAGAGCCGUGUCUUCACAGGCAUGACUGGGAAGGAGCACUAACUCGGGCGGCUGGCGGCCCCAUGCAGAACCAGCUACUUUGCUGUCCCGGGGAGGGCUGAUGGGAAUAAUCUGUGCUUGCAUUCAGUACCAGUGUGCUGCCUUAACAUACUGCCACUGCCAAUCACAGUCAGUAAGAUUUGCAUCAGCUGAGUAAUCUCUUUAGGCUUUCUAGGCAGAAAGGACGUUUGUGCCUAUUUAUAACUGAAUCAAUCACUAAUGAGAGCUUAAAAUGUCUUUGGACUGCCUGUGUUUAAAAAUGCACCGAGAAUGAGUGAAA